UGCAGAGCCACAUCCCGGUCGUCGUCUUCGUCCGCAGCCAGCAGGCACAGUACCACGUUAUCGGGGUCUCUGCGGGCAGCGGGGCAGCGAUAAUUCCAGAUGUACUGAAUGAAGUUGACAACCAAGAGUCGCCAUCAUACCUGUGUUUCAACUGGAUUUUCGGACAAAAUGGGUUUAAGCAUCCUCUGCCCCGUGUUCCCAUAUGAUGGCCUCACAGCUGGCCACAGUCAACAGAGCCUUUGAAACUCUGAGCCACAACAACUCUUUCUUUUCUUCUUUAUGUCAGGUAACUGACUUGUCUGCACUCAAAACUCAGAACCUGUCUUUCCCAGAGUAUGACGUCACUCAUCUCUACCCACCUGCUUCCCUCCAGGAAUAGGUGUGCUUGGCUUAGUGCUUGGCUUAUUGAUGACCAAUGAUGUGGUCAGAGGCUACGCUCAGUGGUUUAAGCCACAGAGCUUUGUUCUCUGCUGAGUAUGUGGGUUGGGGUACAUUAAAAGGCACAGAAUUUUUCAAGCAUAGCAACUGUAAUGACUGAAGUUAAAUAAACUUCACCAAGUGUCAAAAAGGGUUUGCAGUAACUGGAAGUUUCAUGUAUUAGUGAGGGAGAUAAACAAACAAAAC